UACGUGGGGGGCUAGCGUUGUCCGGAAUCAUUGGGCGUAAAGAGCGUGUAGGCGGCUCGGUAAGUCCGCUGUGAAAGUCCAGGGCUCAACCCUGGAAUGCCAGUGGAAACUGUCGAGCUAGAGUCCGGAAGAGGCGAGUGGAAUUCCUGGUGUAGCGGUGAAAUGCGCAGAUAUCAGGAGGAACACCAAUGGCGAAGGCAGCUCGCUGGGACGGUACUGACGCUGAGACGCGAAAGCGUGGGGAGCAAACAGG
rnacentral:rRNA from 1 species